GAUAUGUCUGAUUAUGCCCGGUACAUAGUAACGCACUCAUUACUGUAGCUUCAGCAGCAACGGCCCAGAGAUGCUGGUUCCUUGGAAUAGACAUUUAGUGAGUCUAGAGAAGAUCCAUCCAAAAUCCUGCAGGACCUACAGUUAGAAGCAGAUGUUUUGGUAAAGGCUACUCCUGGGGCAGCAAAACUAUCCGCCACACCUAUCGGAUCGACGACCAUGGUAAGAAGAGCUCCCUGGCUAAAGAAACUGGACAACAGUGUCUAAACAUGCAUUGUGUGACCUCCCUUUUUUGCAAGGGCGUUUAUGUGGUUCCCAGUUGGAUGAGCUUAUACAUGUUGCAGAAGGGGGAAGAAAAAAAAAAAAGUGUUGCCACUAGAUGAGAGAUGUGAACUGAAUAAUGUUUUUGCUAGAGAGACAUUAUAUGAAUUCCUUUUGCAGAUCCGGAUAUAAAGG